rnacentral:rRNA from 1 species
UCGAACGAACUCUGGUAUUGAUUGGUGCUUGCAUCAUGAUUUACAUUUGAGUGAGUGGCGAACUGGUGAGUAACACGUGGGAAACCUGCCCAGAAGCGGGGGAUAACACCUGGAAACAGAUGCUAAUACCGCAUAACAACUUGGACCGCAUGGUCCGAGUUUGAAAGAUGGCUUCGGCUAUCACUUUUGGAUGGUCCCGCGGCGUAUUAGCUAGAUGGUGGGGUAACGGCUCACCAUGGCAAUGAUACGUAGCCGACCUGAGAGGGUAAUCGGCCACAUUGGGACUGAGACACGGCCCAAACUCCUACGGGAGGCAGCAGUAGGGAAUCUUCCACAAUGGACGAAAGUCUGAUGGAGCAACGCCGCGUGAGUGAAGAAGGGUUUCGGCUCGUAAAACUCUGUUGUUAAAGAAGAACAUAUCUGAGAGUAACUGUUCAGGUAUUGACGGUAUUUAACCAGAAAGCCACGGCUAACUACGUGCCAGCAGCCGCGGUAAUACGUAGGUGGCAAGCGUUGUCCGGAUUUAUUGGGCGUAAAGCGAGCGCAGGCGGUUUUUUAAGUCUGAUGUGAAAGCCUUCGGCUCAACCGAAGAAGUGCAUCGGAAACUGGGAAACUUGAGUGCAGAAGAGGACAGUGGAACUCCAUGUGUAGCGGUGAAAUGCGUAGAUAUAUGGAAGAACACCAGUGGCGAAGGCGGCUGUCUGGUCUGUAACUGACGCUGAGGCUCGAAAGUAUGGGUAGCAAACAGGAUUAGAUACCCUGGUAGUCCAUACCGUAAACGAUGAAUGCUAAGUGUUGGAGGGUUUCCGCCCUUCAGUGCUGCAGCUAACGCAUUAAGCAUUCCGCCUGGGGAGUACGGCCGCAAGGCUGAAACUCAAAGGAAUUGACGGGGGCCCGCACAAGCGGUGGAGCAUGUGGUUUAAUUCGAAGCUACGCGAAGAACCUUACCAGGUCUUGACAUACUAUGCAAUCUAA